UGGACGAACGCUGGCGGCGUGCCUAAUACAUGCAAGUCGUACGCUUCUUUUUCCACCGGAGCUUGCUCCACCGGAAAAAGAAGAGUGGCGAACGGGUGAGUAACACGUGGGUAACCUGCCCAUCAGAAGGGGAUAACACUUGGAAACAGGUGCUAAUACCGUAUAACAAUCGAAACCGCAUGGUUUUGAUUUGAAAGGCGCUUUCGGGUGUCGCUGAUGGAUGGACCCGCGGUGCAUUAGCUAGUUGGUGAGGUAACGGCUCACCAAGGCUACGAUGCAUAGCCGACCUGAGAGGGUGAUCGGCCACAUUGGGACUGAGACACGGCCCAAACUCCUACGGGAGGCAGCAGUAGGGAAUCUUCGGCAAUGGACGAAAGUCUGACCGAGCAACGCCGCGUGAGUGAAGAAGGUUUUCGGAUCGUAAAACUCUGUUGUUAGAGAAGAACAAGGAUGAGAGUAACUGUUCAUCCCUUGACGGUAUCUAACCAGAAAGCCACGGCUAACUGCGUGCCAGCAGCCGCGGUAAUACGUAGGUGGCAAGCGUUGUCCGGAUUUAUUGGGCGUAAAGCGAGCGCAGGCGGUUUCUUAAGUCUGAUGUGAAAGCCCCCGGCUCAACCGGGGAGGGUCAUUGGAAACUGGGAGACUUGAGUGCAGAAGAGGAGAGUGGAAUUCCAUGUGUAGCGGUGAAAUGCGUAGAUAUAUGGAGGAACACCAGUGGCGAAGGCGGCUCUCUGGUCUGUAACUGACGCUGAGGCUCGAAAGCGUGGGGAGCAAACAGGAUUAGAUACCCUGGUAGUCCACGCCGUAAACGAUGAGUGCUAAGUGUUGGAGGGUUUCCGCCCUUCAGUGCUGCAGCUAACGCAUUAAGCACUCCGCCUGGGGAGUACGACCGCAAGGUUGAAACUCAAAGGAAUUGACGGGGGCCCGCACAAGCGGUGGAGCAUGUGGUUUAAUUCGAAGCAACGCGAAGAACCUUACCAGGUCUUGACAUCCUUUGACCACUCUAGAGAUAGAGCUUCCCCUUCGGGGGCAAAGUGACAGGUGGUGCAUGGUUGUCGUCAGCUCGUGUCGUGAGAUGUUGGGUUAAGUCCCGCAACGAGCGCAACCCUUAUUGUUAGUUGCCAUCAUUUAGUUGGGCACUCUAGCAAGACUGCCGGUGACAAACCGGAGGAAGGUGGGGAUGACGUCAAAUCAUCAUGCCCCUUAUGACCUGGGCUACACACGUGCUACAAUGGGAAGUACAACGAGUCGCGAAGUCGCGAGGCUAAGCUAAUCUCUUAAAGCUUCUCUCAGUUCGGAUUGUAGGCUGCAACUCGCCUACAUGAAGCCGGAAUCGCUAGUAAUCGCGGAUCAGCACGCCGCGGUGAAUACGUUCCCGGGCCUUGUACACACCGCCCGUCACACCACGAGAGUUUGUAACACCCGAAGUCGGUGAGGUAACCUUUUGGAGCCAGCCGCCUAAGGUGG
rnacentral:rRNA from 1 species